AAUAGAUACCCAGGUAGUCCACGCCGUAAACGAUGAGUGCUAAGUGUUAGAGGGUUUCCGCCCUUUAGUGCUGCAGCUAACGCAUUAAGCACUCCGCCUGGGGAGUACGGUCGCAAGACUGAAACUCAAAGGAAUUGACGGGGGCCCGCACAAGCGGUGGAGCAUGUGGUUUAAUUCGAAGCAACGCGAAGAACCUUACCAGGUCUUGACAUCCUCUGACAACUCUAGAGAUAGAGCGUUCCCCUUCGGGGGACAGAGUGACAGGUGGUGCAUGGUUGUCGUCAGCUCGUGUCGUGAGAUGUUGGGUUAAGUCCCGCAACGAGCGCAACCCUUGAUCUUAGUUGCCAGCAUUAAGUUGGGCACUCUAAGGUGACUGCCGGUGACAAACCGGAGGAAGGUGGGGAUGACGUCAAAUCAUCAUGCCCCUUAUGACCUGGGCUACACACGUGCUACAAUGGAUGGUACAAAGGGCUGCAAGACCGCGAGGUCAAGCCAAUCCCAUAAAACCAUUCUCAGUUCGGAUUGU
rnacentral:rRNA from 1 species